GACAACUUUUUUCCAACCUGAAGUUUAGUCAAUAUGUGAGCAAUUGUAUCAUCCCUAGCUAGACCAAGCAGUACUCGGCAUGCAAGAGCACGAAUACAGUCAAGAGCAGCAGGAGGUGAAUAUAUGCGUGGUUGUAGAAGGUGAAGAAGAACCUUUAUGCCAUUGUUGGCACGAACAGCCUCCCUUGCUUGACGAUAUCCUUGUUCCAUUUGUGCAGCAAGGCCAGCACAACCUGCUCCGGUACCUAAAAAUAUUCUUCGAUCUCCAACCAAUCCUGAAGUUGCAGUAGGAACAGGUGUUUGUGAAGUGCUACUGAUGGAUCUAGAAGCAGAAACUGCUGCACUGCCUCGAUCACCAACACUAGACUCUCCAUUACGCUCUCUUAGUUCACUCUGGUUACGUUCUGUACUUCUAUCUCUAGUUUCCAUGGCAGAAGCAUUUGCAAGUUGGCCAGAAACAUUCUGCUGGCCUUGUGCAAGAACAGGGGGU
rnacentral:misc_RNA from 1 species